CAGCAGCCGCGGUAAUACAGAGGAGCCAAGCGUUGUCCGGAUUGACUGGGCGUAAAGCGCACGCAGGCGGAUGCGCGCGUGGGGUGUGAAAUCUGGCCGCUUAACGGCCAGGCGCCAUCCCAUACGGCGCGUCUGGAGCCUUGCAGAGGUCGGUGGAAUUGCCGGUGUAGUGGUGAAAUGCGUAGAGAUCGGCAGGAACACCCAGGGGGAAACCAGCCGACUGGGCAAGCGCUGACGCUGAGGUGCGAGAGCGUGGGGAGCGAACCGGAUUAGAUACCCGGGUAGUCCACGCCGUAAACGAUGGCCACUCGGCCUUUGGGGGCGGAUCAUCCGUCCGUGGGGGCCUUAGCAAACGCGGGAAGUGGCCCGCCUGGGAACUACGAGCGCAAGCUUAAAACUCAAAUGAAUUGACGG
rnacentral:rRNA from 1 species